GGGGCUGUAGCUCAAUGGUAGAGUGCUUGCCUAGCAUGCAUCAGACACUGGGUUGGAUCCUCAGCACCCCA
rfam:Ictidomys tridecemlineatus contig108546, whole genome shotgun sequence.